rnacentral:rRNA from 1 species
AGACUAGAAUGAAUGGAGAAAUGGGGCAAUUCUUUCUUUAAUUAAAAGUUAAAAAUAAUUUUUUUAGUGAAGAAACUAAAAUGAGGAUGAGGGACGAGAAGACCCUAUUAAGCUUAAUAUAAGUUAUUUUGUUGGGGAAACAAAAGAAUAAAAUUUCUUUAGGUAUAUGUAUUGAUAAAUUAAGAUUUAGUUUUAUUAAUAAUAGAAUAAGUUACUAUAGGGAUAACAGCAUAAUUUUUUUGGAAAGUUCUUAUUGAUAAAGAAGAUUAUGACCUCGAUGUUGGAUUAAAAAUAUUAUAAAAUGAAGUUGUUUUAUAAAUUAGUCUGUUCGACUAUUAAAAUUUUAC